rnacentral:hammerhead_ribozyme from 1 species
AUUCAACUGACGAGUCCCGAAUAGGAUGAAACGUACGUCCUAUAU